rnacentral:lncRNA from 1 species
CGUCAGACGGUCAAGAGACUUGUUAAUCUGGAAGAUUGCAGAGCCAGUAACCCCAUGACUAUCUGCAGACCAUCUGACGUACUUGAGAGAGUUUUCUCAUCUUCUACUGUUUCCUCUGAAAACACGGGACUUAAGUGGUCAAGGGACACACAUCUCGUCUUGUCCUCUGGGAGAGCUUCAUAAUAGGGAUACUGAAGCGCUUUGAAGCCGCUGUGAAGUAUGAGGCUGGCCUUGCUCUGAUCACGCUUCAUUUCCGAGGACGCUGCCGCCAUGGCCCGUGACUUUCCAUGGGUGUCUGCUACAGGCUGGUCUGUCCAAGAAGGCACAUCUGAGGGGCUAGGGUUCCUCUUCUCACUUCUUCUCUUAAGGCCACAUGCUAGUUUGUCCAGGUCACCUCCUUGUGACUGCUUCACACUGGCCAGGCAAACACCCAGGGUCCCUCUCCCAGCCCUCAUGCUUUGCGCCCUCUGGUGCAGCGAGUCCGGGGUGAUGCCUAUCGGUCAAGGAUGGCCUUCAGUGGAUCUCAAUAUGAACCUGGAAAAGAUAAUC